AAGCACUUUUAAAAGUUCAGUACAAGGAAAGCAACAUCAUCCUAGGAAACCAGGCAAGGCUUUAAAGAAGAAAAGACCUUAAAAUACAGCCUGGUUGAUGCAGGAGAAGAAUGAAAUGAGAGAAUCUUCUAGUGCUGUUAAGGGUGGAGAUAUCUCUAGGAUUUUUCAUAUUUCAUUCGAUGAUGUGUUUUCUGCCAGCUUUGGACAUAAUAUACCCAGUUACUUCAGCUUCCUGCAGCUGUGACUUCUCAUCGUGAUGGAC